AGAAAGUGGGUGGGGGGAGAAUUGGCAGUGGGGAGGAGAGGCAGCUGGGCCUGGAAGUGGAGACUGGGGCAGAAGGUGGGAGGGGAGAGAGGUAACCGCCGGCCCCAAAGAGCGCACAGAUGCUCUCUGCGGGGUCGGCUAGUUACUCCUAAUGCCCCAAGUGGUCACUAAGACAGAAUAGUCUGUAAACAAGACUAUUACUCAUUUAUUCAUUCAAAAAUAAAUAUACCCCACCCCUUCAGUGCACUAUUGCUUGAGAAGACUUACAACAUUAAUAAAAUAGAUACAAUAUAGGAUAAAACAUUAAGUUAAAAGACCAGACUAAAACCACAAUUAAAAUAACAAGUUUUAAAACUGAAAUUAAAAGUUAUCGGUAAAAAGCUAAACACUAAGAAACCUGCCAGAGAAAAGCAAAAGAUAAGAUAUAAUCUAAAAAGAUAUGACUUCAGUUGUUUCUUAAAAACAAUAAGGAUUGGAGCAUAGUGAAGCUCUUUUGGGAGGGCAUACCAAAGUUGAGGGGCCACAACCAAAAUAGGCCUCAUCUCUACACUCAUGCAGCUGGAGCCGAGUGACAGAAUGAAUUAUCAUCACAGCAAUCAACGCUCUCAGCAACUAACCCCUAGGCAUAUCAAACUCACUCAUCAUCCCUUCCACAUUUCCCGAGAAUGAUUGUGGAAUCCUCCUGGGUCUUCCUCCAUUUAGCCCACUGUCACUCAAAAAGCGACGGAUGGUGCGAUCAGACACUGAUGGACUGGACCUUGGAGUUCAGUUUGCAUCUCUUUGGAAGUUGUCCUUAGCUUUUUGUCUACCAUUCUCAUUAUCCUGCCCAUUCUGGAGUCGAUUUUCUUCUUGCAGCCACGUCCAGGGAGGUUGGCUACAGUCCCAUGGACUUGAACUUCUUAAUAAUAUUUGCAACUGUUGUCACAGGAACAUCAAACUGCUUGGAGAUGGUUUAUAGCCUUUUCCCUUAACAUGCUUGUCUAUAAUUUUUGUUCUGAUCUCCUCAGAGAACUCUCUCCUUUGCUUUCUCUGGGCCAUGUUCAUUGUGGGACACACGAUGAUACCAAACAGCAGAGUGACUACUUUUCUCCAUUUCAAUAGGCUGAAUGACUGAUUGCACGAUUGGAAAUAUGUGUGAUACUAAUUAAAGAAAACAGCUAAUUUGAAAAA